rnacentral:lncRNA from 10 species
AAAGCAUCAAGGUGAGGAUGUUCGGGACCAGUUCAGAGGCUCCUGAGAAGCCGCAUUUGGCCAGAGAGGGAAGAGAUGGGGGAGGUAAGGACAGAGCAGCAGCAGGAGCUGACUUUAGAGGGGACUGCAUCCUCCUUAUACAUCAUGGGGUGACCAACCAGGGGCGAUCUCCAAAAUAGACAGCCAGCAAAUAAUGAUGAAGCUCCGUCAGCGUGCCCGGUGCCUCAGGAUCCCUCAAGGAGCAUACAAAAGGCUGAGAAGUGAGCUGAUUUAUUUACACAGCCAUCUCGUGGGUCCUAUGCAGUGAAGACAAAUUGCCAAAGAUGAUGCACUAGGCUCACAUGCAUUUCUCACAGAAAGGGCCAUCUUUCAGGCCUUUACUUGGAGCCUAUUUACUCUUAGUUUGCACAUAGUCCCAGCAAGAUGAGUGACCCAGAUUCCCAGUGCCAGGCAGAUUCAAAUCAGAGGUAGAGGAGCAGCAGGCGGAGGUGGGGUUGACUUAGAGAGUUCCUCAUGGGUUUGGAGGAGGAUUUGAUCUGGGAGGACAAGCCACCACCUCCAGGGUGAUCACUUGGGCUAGGUGUUUUACAUGCCCUGUUUAAGCCUUGCGCAGUGGGUGGUGCCAUCCCCAUUUCACAGAUGAAGAAAUUGAUGCUAGAACAGGCUGGGCAGAUGCCAGAAUGGCAUGGCAGGGUUAGAGAAAGGUAUGUAGGCAACAAGGGGAAGGUGCUGCUGGAAGCCAACUGUGAAGAAGGGAACAGGAAAACCAAAGCAAGUUGGAGAAGAAUGCUCCAAACAGAGAGCCAGCUAGGGCUGUCCUACCUAGGAGGACAUUGGGAUGAAACGGGCUGGACACCGUGACUCUGCUGCUGUCUAGCUAAGUGAAGUGGGCAAGUUCCUGCCACUCUGAAGCUCAGCUUUCCCAUCUGAAAAGCAGGGUUAAAACCACCAGAUAGUGGCAGGAAUUGAAGAUGAGGCAGGUGGGCCACCAGCCGAGGAUCUGACUCAGGAGCAGUCACUUGCACGAUGGUUGCUGAGACGAUGUUACUUUUUAUUACUGGGGGAAACUCAAUGCACCCUAGAGCAGC